UGCGGGUCUGCAUGGGCUCAGGCCUGGCUACUGCUGGACUUAUCCUGAGUGCAGAGGACACCCACACACUCCAACCGCUGGGAACACGGCUUGGCAGGGAGAAGGGCUGAGCUGGCCUUUUGUGUGACACAAAUGCUCAGUGCGGCUGCCUGAGUUCUUGUCAGGCUGAAGAAAGAAAAAGACCUGCUUGCUGGCAAUUCUCCCCAACAAAUGCGCACUGAACCUCAGAGCCCAGGAAGCUUGGGCCCUGCUCAAGGCAGGCCCACACAUCCUGCUAGACGUGACUUGAAUCCCACGGCUUCCUUGUCGGUUUCUCCCACGCACUCUCGGAGCCCUUGUCACCUUGGAGUCCAUCCCACACACAUUGCCAGCACUUAAUUUUCUGCGAAUGUUACAUGAAGAGUCAGCCUGACCUGCCAGCCUAUUGUCAGUACCCGAGGAGCACAGCCUGGCUUCUCACUGGGUGAGCUUAGGUUGACAGGUCAGCGAUGGAUCUCUGCCAAGUGGACCCCUGAGCACUGGCUACUAUGCCCACUUGUCCAGGGCCUGCCAGACACGUGGGAAUCCUUGGAAGGGAAGUCUCUGAUCCUGAUACCUGGAGGUGAGACCACACGGGAUGGAGAACUGGGGCGAUGUGUGCUCCCCUCACAGAGUCUGGUCCUAACGUGUGAUUGGUAGCCCUGACUUGAGUCUCUCUCAGAGGCUCCCUCUAUGAUCGGAUUCUCCCGACUCCGGCGAGGGUCCUAAAGUAAUCAACAUGGCUGCCCAAUUAUGGACUGCAGCCUCCAUCACUCCUUCCCUCUUUCAGUGCUACCACGCCAGGGCAGACAGAGCCUGGAGUCAGGCUCUGUGAGCACAGAUCAUCGCACAGAUACAGAGAGCGGAGAGGAAGCCGGCAAGGGGAGUGCGGUUACCUCUGAGGCUGCAGCGGAGUUGUUAAGUGCAGGAGAUUUAAAGCUUCAUUCGCCUCCCUUCUAACUUCAAGCUGUUCUAAGCCCAGUCUCCCAGACGACAAAACUCAGACCAGCUGCGAAGGAAAGGAUAUUGCUCCCUCUGGAGCCUCGGGUCUGAUUUAGAGGGUGCUUAGCGGAGGCAAGUGGGAAGACGGAGGUGAACGUUCCACGGGUCUAUUUCUGGGGAAAAUUUCUCUGCUGAAGACA